rnacentral:tRNA from 1 species
UCCCUGCUGGCUCAGUGAUAAAAGAACCUGCCUGCAAUGCAGGAGACAAGGGUUCGAUCCCUGGGUUGGGAA